rnacentral:tRNA from 2 species
CCCUGGUUAGCUCAGUUGGUAGAACGCACCACCUGUAAUGGAGAGGUCCCGGGUUCGAUACCCGGACCAGGCG